rnacentral:lncRNA from 1 species
UUCUCUCUCUCUCUCUCUCUCUCAAGCGCCCACCGAGGCUUCCUCCGCCGAGCCCCCGCCCUCGACGACAUCGCCCUCGCCGCCUCCUCGAUAUUUCCGUGCGCUCAAGUUCCUUGAGCUCUCCGCGCCGAGGCGCUCCACCGACUCCUCUGCCGAUCGAGCCGCGACGCGCUCCUCGCGCCUCCGCCGAAGCUCCGCCGAGCACCCACCGAGCUCCAUCGAGCUCAGCAUGGAGUCGGCCGAGCCCUUCCGCCGUGUCUCCGCCCCGCCACCGCUGCCGUCUUCGACCCAAAGCCGCGCCACCCGCGGCCGAUCUGCCUGAAGCCGCCACCGCUGCCGUCUUCGACCCGAAGCCGCGCCACCCGCGGCCGAUCUGCCUGAAGCCGCCACCGCUGCCGUCCUUGACUCGAAGCCGCGCCAUCCGCGGCCGAUUUGCCUGAAGCCGCCACCGCUGCCGUCUUCGACUCGAAGCCGCGCCAUCCGCGGCCGAUCUGCCUGAAGCCGCCACCGCUGCCGUCCUCAACCCGAAGCCGCGCCACCCGCGGCCGACCUGCCUGAAGCCGCCACCGCUGCCGUCUUCGACUCGAAGCCGCGCCAUCCGCGGCCGAUCUGCCUGAAGUCGCGCCACCCGCGGCCGAUACUUUCGAAGCCGCGCCACCCGCGGCCGACCUGCCUGAAGCCGCCACCGCUGCCGCCUUCGACUCGAAGCCGCGC